GAUUCCAGUCGCUAUCAAAUGUGAAUGUUCGACAAGAGCACGAACAAUAGCGUUGCAGGAUGGAACACUGUGUGCACUUAGGAGUGCCCUAAGCUGGACCGGCAAGAAGCUGCAAGAAGUCGGAGUGUGCGCAGCAGGCCAUUGUGUAGCGCGACCGCCUGACCAACCAAUCGAUCACCAGUUUAAGAAGAAAGAGUGCAAAGUCAGCAACGUGCAAGUCUCUCCGGAGCUUAUUGUCGGAGCGUCUUGUACGGCUACGUGCAGGCGUUUUGAGACGGAACAUCGUCCCAAUGGUACACUAUGCCUCCUGGAAUACAGGCGCGAAGAAAAGUUAAUAGGACCAGCCAAGAAGACAUACAGUAUUGGCGUGUGCUUGUCUGGCAAAUGCCUCCGAACCAGAAACAGUUGGGACAUUAAACUAUAAUUUUUUUACUUU